rnacentral:hammerhead_ribozyme from 1 species
GAACUGCUGAGGAGUCCCACAAUAGAACGAAACGGUCGUCCAGUAU